rnacentral:misc_RNA from 1 species
AGCAGCCGCGGUAAUUCCAGCUCCAAUAGCGUAUAUUAAAGUUGUUGCAGUUAAAAAGCUCGUAGUUGAAUUUCGGGAUCAAUAUGUUGGUCGUGCCUCGGUACGUACUAGCAUAUUGGUUUUUCCUUUCUGAAGAACAUGAUGUCAUUCAUUUGGUGUCGUGGGGAAUCAGGACUGUUACUUUGAAAAAAUUAGAGUGUUUAAAGCAGGCUCACGCUUGAAUACAUUAGCAUGGAAUAAUGAAAUAGGACGUUUGAUUCUAUUUUGUUGGUUUCUAGGAUCGACGUAAUGAUUAAUAGGGAUAGUUGGGGGCAUUAGUAUUCAAUUGUCAGAGGUGAAAUUCUUGGAUUAUUGGAAGACUAACUACUGCGAAAGCAUUUGCCAAGGAUGUUUUCAUUAAUCAAGAACGAAAGUUAGGGGAUCGAAGACGAUCAGAUACCGUCGUAGUCUUAACCAUAGACUAUGCCGACUAGGGAUCGGAUGAUGUUAAUUUUUUCAAUGACUCAUUCGGCGCCUUACG